rnacentral:rRNA from 1 species
GGACGAACGCUGGCGGCGUGCCUAACACAUGCAAGUCGAGCGGAGAUGAUGUGAGGAAGUUUUCGGAUGGAAUCACAUUAUUUAGCGGCGGACGGGUGAGUAACGCGUGAGCGACCAACCUUGCACAGGGGGAUAACGGACCGAAAGGUUCACUAAUACCGCAUGAGACCACGGUGUUGCAUGACACAGGGGUCAAAGGAGUAAUCCGGUGCAAGACGGGCUCGCGUCCGAUUAGGUAGUUGGAGGGGUAACGGCCCACCAAGCCUAUGAUCGGUAGCCGACCUGAGAGGGUGAUCGGCCACAUUGGAACUGAGACACGGUCCAGACUCCUACGGGAGGCAGCAGUGGGGAAUAUUGGGCAAUGGGCGCAAAGCCUGACCCAGCAACGCCGCGUGAGUGAAGAAGGCCUUUGGGUUGUAAAACUCUGUUCUAUGGGAAGAAGGAAGUGACGGUACCAUAGGAGAAAGCUCCGGCUAACUACGUGCCAGCCGCCGC